rnacentral:lncRNA from 1 species
AUGGCUGUCUGCCUGCCUGGGUGGGCUCUGUGCGCGCUGAGGUCCUGGGCUCCAAAGGACGUCGUAUGGCUCAGUUUACCUGGGUGCCACGUGCCACCUGGGAUGUUGUCUGGCCAGGGGUUGCUCUCCCAAAGCGGCACUUACCGCAGACACCGCAGUGACAGACAGAGACGCUUCCGCCUGGCAGCCCCGAGAGAACUCGCUGAGAGCCUUCCCGGUGGAACGCAUCAAGGCGGCUUCAUUCCUCGAACCUGGUGUCGGGGAGGCCUGCCCGCCCUCGCGCCGAACUGCAAAGGGCGGCUCGUCUCCCCAGGCCAGAAGGACCUUGCCCUCGCCCCAGGGGCCCAGAGCACAAAGCCGGUCCUCGGGGUGCUUGCCGUGCGGGGCGGGGGGGGGGGUUCCGCCCAGCACCCCCUCCGCCCCACCUCCGAGCCUGCUCCUGCCGCCUGGGCAGAGCGCACCUGGGGCGGCGAGGUCCUCUGGCGCCGCCUUGUGGACAUCUGCUCGAACAGCAAGUCCCAGGGGUUCCUCCUCGCUCUGGCUCAGCAGGCCCCCGGGGCUGCCUGGGGCCUGGGCCCUGGGCCCGGGGCCCGGGGCUGGGUGGGUUCUCUCCCUCCCCUUGAGGGAACUCCCAAGAAGAACCUGUCCAAGGGGGCUCCUUCUCGCUCAGAGGCUCUCAGAGCCCUCAGGCCCACCUGCCCCAAGCCCCUCCGUUCCACACACACACACACCCCCCCCGUCAGCUCCGGACCCAUCCUGUCAGGACAGCGUCGCCCUUGCUCAGACGGGCCUGCCCUGGGCUAUGGAGGGCCCCGCGCGCGUGUGUGUAUAUAUGGAGCUCUUGCUCUUGCCUUGCGUUUCCAAGUGGUAUUCCUUCGGUCGUCCAAUAAUAAACUCGUGAUUCUUUCCCUUCUGGUUUCGUUCUGGCUUCCUUGCUUCCUUCCUUCCUGUCCCCGUCCCCGUCCCUGUCCCUGUCCCUGUCCCUGUCCCUGUCUCUCCUUCCCUCGUUCUCUCUUGCUUUAUGGACCCCACCUGAGGCGAGCGUCGGUCGCCCGCCCUCGAGGGUCGGCCAGCCACAGAGGGUGCCAAGCUGGCCCCAGCGACCCAGACAGACCUUUUCCCCAGGGAGCCUGGAGGGACCUCCGGGAGGUCUUUCCUGCUCUCGUGCUACCGGCCUGCGAUGGCCCGAGCUGGCUCGAGAGCAGCUCUUCAUACCAGGUGUUUGGCCAGAACCAAAGCGGCUCACAGGGAAAGCCAAAGGCGGAGGUUCAGGAGACCUCCUGGGAGAAGGCACACCGGGAGGGGCGCGGCGGCUCACCCCGCUGUCACCUCUGUCCCGCCUUCCCUGCACGACGCGCAGUCACCCGACCCGGGCCCCAAAGCCCAGGUCGGGAUGGGGCUUCCCUAUUCCCAGCUCAACCACGGAAACAAGCCAGCCCCCAGGAAAUAAGUGAGUAAAGAAGCACAUAAACACACCCGACACCCCGGUCGAAAAAUGGACCCGGGGCCUGAGGAGGCAUUUCCCUCCACCCGAUAUCCAGAGGGCACCAGGCCCCGCAAAACCCUCGCACCCUCACGCAUCCGGAGAGACACGCAGAUCACCUCGGCGCUGAGGAAACACAGCAAGCCGAGACGUGGAAACAAGCGCCGCGUCCAUCGACAGAGGAAGGGAUGAUGACGACGUGGCACGUAUACAACAUGGAAUACGGCGCAGCCCCAGAAACCCCCCGCCCCCCAACCCCCCGCCGCCCGCGUCACCGCCCCCGCCAGAGGCCAUUCGCAGCCACGCAGAUGGCACCAGAGAGUGGCUGGCUAGAACCUCUGCGACCUUUCUACCAAAAGGAAGAUCUUGGACUGCAGGACAGACCUGUGGGGGCCGGCGUGGAGGUGGAGGGUGUGAGCAGGCCUGGGGUUUGGGGGUCCCUAGAGGCAGCCUCUCGCACUUGGCGUGUGGAAGCAGUGAGGUGCUGCUCUAGAGGUCAGGGAACAACAUCGAGCCCCCUUCUUUGCAACGAGGUUGAGGAUAACGUGAGAAAAAUGACAGGUAUACGUCCCGGCCCGACUGGAUCCCGUUGCUGUGUACGGGAAAGAGAGCCCUUUAAAUCUGCUCAAAUCGAAGUAUAAAUGGGAUAAGGAGAGAGACGAAGAAGAACAAGAGGGAGAAGAAGGAGCAGGAAAUAAAAAAGAAGAAGGAGGAAAAACA